GUUUAUCAAAAACAUAGCUAGAAGCAAAUAAUUUCUAGUAUCUUCUGCUCAAUGUACUUAUAAAUUGCCGCAGUAUAUAAACUGUGCUAAGGUAGCAUAAUCACUUGUCUAUUAAUUGCAGACUAGAAUGAAUGAAUAAAUGAGAUUUAUACUGUUUCUUAAAAUAAUUUAAAAUUUUAUAUAAAAGUGAAGAAGCUUUUAUAAUCUCGUAAGACAAGAAGACCCUGUAGAACUUAAAUUAUCUAAAAUACAUAAAUCUUACUAAACUUUGACUGGGGUGGCCUAGAUAUAUAAAACUAUCUUCUAAUACAAGAUUAAUAAAUCAUGCCUUGAUCCAUAUCAGCGACCAUUAAUUAAAGCUACCUCAGGGAUAACAGACAUAUUUUCUUUAAAAGUUCUAAUUAAAAAGAAAGAUUUGCACCUCGAUGUUGGCUUAUAAACUUACUUAGUGCAAAAGCUAAGAUAAAAGAUUUGUUCAAUCUUUAUAAAAUUACGUGAUCUGAGUUC
rnacentral:rRNA from 1 species